AACGAACGCUGGCGGCAUGCCUAACACAUGCAAGUCGAACGAGACCUUCGGGUCUAGUGGCGCACGGGUGCGUAACGCGUGGGAACCUGCCCUUAGGUUCGGAAUAACUCCCCGAAAGGGGUGCUAAUACCGGAUAAUGUCUUCGGACCAAAGAUUUAUCGCCGUUGGAUGGGCCCGCGUUGGAUUAGCUAGUUGGUAGGGUAAAAGCCUACCAAGGCGACGAUCCAUAGCUGGUCUGAGAGGAUGAUCAGCGACACUGGGACUGAGACACGGCCCAGACUCCUACGGGAGGCAGCAGUGGGGAAUAUUGGACAAUGGGCGAAGGCCUGAUCCAGCAAGGCCGCGUGAGUGAUGAAGGCCUUAGGGUUGUAAAGCUCUUUUAACCGGGAUGAUAAUGACAGUACCGGGAGAAUAAGCUCCGGCUAACUCCGUG
rnacentral:rRNA from 1 species